rnacentral:tRNA from 1 species
CGGGAUGUAGCUCAGCCCGGGAGAGUACGCGUCUGGGGGGCGUGUGGUCGCAAGUUCGAAUCUUGUCAUCCCGA